CGGAGCAUAGCACAGCCUAGUAGUGCACCUAGUUUGGGACCAGGGGGUCGUAGUUUCGAAUCCUACUGCUCCGACCA
rnacentral:tRNA from 1 species